GACGGGGGAUGCAAGCGUUAUCCGGAAUCACUGGGCGUAAAGCGUCUGUAGGUGGUGAUGCAAGUCACCGGUGCAAAACUCUGGCUCAACCGGAGGAAAGCCAGUGAAACUGCAUGACUAGAGUGUGGGAGAGGUAGAAGGAAUUCCCUGAGUAGCGGUGAAAUGCGUAGAUACAGGGAAGAACACCGGAGGCGAAAGCGUUCUACUGGAACACAACUGACACUGAGAGAAUAAAGCUAGGGGAGCGAAUGGG
rnacentral:rRNA from 1 species